rnacentral:SRP_RNA from 1 species
CGCCUAUCUAUCUGCGACAAUAAACUGCAAAUCCCGCCAGGUUCGGAAGAAAGCAACGGUAGUGGUUGAUUUGUGUGCAGGUUUUGGUGGGUGAAC